GUGAUUUUGUUGAACCACCUGAAGAUGUGAAACUCUUUGUUGGGAAUUUGCAUUUGACGCUGAGUACCGUUGAAGAAGCUGAGAAGGCUGUGGAGAAGUUCAACUGCUUUAGGUGAUUCUUACCUUGUUGCCCGUACGGAUGGUGUGGGAACAAAGUUCAAAGGAGUCUUCAUUGAAGAAUCUGCAAGAACUGGCAAGCCAAAUAUUCAGCAAAACCAAUUCAAUUGUAGAAACCCGAAAUACAGAGCCUGAUAACAAGAAGAAACAACAGAACAAGGAACUUCAUUCAAAUAGCAAUUUAAGCCCACUUGCAAGAUUUCUUCUCUCAAGGUUUAUGGAAGUUAUCAUUUGACCUCUGAUUCAUAAUAAUUAUUUUAUUGGUGAAUUUUUUUCUUGCUUUAGGGACUGGUGGCUUGCUAUUGGAACAAAUAGCAUCUCUCUAUUUAAAUCACACACUUCUUUGCAUUAUCUGUCUUGAAAUAUGCUUGUGAGUAAUGUAAUUUUUUGUUUUUAUAGAUGGUAAGGCCAAACCUCGCGGGAUCUAAAUCUAGCUUGAACGGAGUUAGAAUUUAUUUUUUGUUAUUGUCACCUGAAGAUUUGAUACCGAUACUUCCUUACAUCUACCCUGGAGAGCUAGCUUAUGCUAAAUAUUUCACGUGCUAUUUAAUGAAUGAGGCUAAUGAUAAUGAAGAUGGAAAAUUGUCACUCCAGGAGAUGCUUGAUCAUGAAUUUAUUUUUUACAACACAGUUGAUGCAGAUGGGCAUCAGGAAAGCGAUGAUGAACAUGAUGAGCUUUGAUGUUAUAAAAGGCAUUGUUGAUUACAAGGCUAUGAUUGUAUGGAUUCAGAGGUGGUCCUGCUGGCAUCAUGAAGUGCAAAUUCGUUAAACUCACCUCUGACUAUAUUUAUCCUUACUGAUAUCAGUUGCAGCGGGCCAACAGAGAUACUAGUUGCUUGUGUGUGGAAGAUGAACAACAAGGAGAAGAAGAGUGUGAGCAGGGACAAGAGCCUGAGAAGUUUCAUGGUGUAAGCUGUGGCAUUAACUUGCUCUGGACAAUGGAUAGCUUCUCCUGUUGCCCUUAAAAAGACAUUAGAUUCUUUCUUUACGAUAUACCAUUCAUUUAGUAGGAGAUAAAGUUACAAUUUAUACACACAUAAAAAUAAAAACACGUGAUUCGUAUUUUUUUUUCUCUGUAUGUUCUCUUUACAGAGUUUUUAUAUGACUUGGUACAUU